CUUGCAGAGGGGAGGCAUCUCAGGGGAAUCCCACUGGAAGGCCAAGUCCUUUGGCAGGCCAGCCGGAAGGGUUCCUAGAGCUUCCACAUGACCACUCUUACAAAAGGUCCUAGGGCUUCUUUUGAUCUUUGGCCCUUUUGUUUUCUCCCCCCAGAGAGGAAAGGCAGGAGCACCGCAGGCCGUGGCUGUCCACCGUUUUGGAGACCUCCACUGAGUUGGAACCACAGGACCAACCAGUGGAGGAGGAGCUCUCUCCUGGGCAGGACACCUCUUCUCCAGAGGAUUCGCUGACCGUCCUGUUGGGCUCCAGGACCAGCAGCCUCUGUGAGGUGGACUCCCUUGCUGACCUCCUGGAGGAGGAAUCUGAGGAUAGCUGGGACCAGGAUGCAGAGGCCAGCUCCUCUUCCAGUCCAUGGGUAAGAAAGACAAA